CAUCGGAGGUUAUAGGUCAUGGGGCAUCCUUGUACUGCUGGUCUGCUCUACUGGAGGGUACUGGAAACUGGUCACUCCCACACAACAAUAUAGUCAUCAGAACAUUCUAAUUAGGAAGGUUUAUGAUGGGGAUGAACAUUCUAAUUAGGAAGGUUUAUGAUGGGGAUGAACAUUCUAAUUAGGAAGGUUUAUGAUGGGGAUGAACAUUCUAAUUAGGAAGGUUUAUGAUGGGGAUGAACAUUCUAAUUAGGAAGGUUUAUGAUGGGGAUGAACAUUCUAAUUAGGAAGGUUUAUGAUGGGGAUGAACAUUCUAAUUAGGAAGGUUUAUGAUGGGGAUGAACAUUUCAGUCAAUUCUGCUGCAGACUAACCGACCCUUAUUAACCAGUUAGCGAACGGUUACAUUUUGUUCCAAAUUGUAAAAAUUAUGUGACCGACAGAAAAUAUUAUGCAUGCAUACACACAAUGGACUCUUUAAAAAAUAUAUUUUUUUUUAUGUGUGUGUAUGUGAGAUUAAUUGAAAUGUGAAACAAUAGCAAGCCUAUUGUCCACACAGCUAAAAGGCUAUAUUAUUGAACAACUACUGUAAUGAAGCAGCCAAAGAAAAGGACAUUUGCGGGAAAAUACUUUUGUAAAAAAAACACAAAGUUAGCGGUUUCAUGUGAUCGAGAUAAGAAAAACAUGGAGAGGGAAUCUAAAGAUGCAAAAACUAGGAUGGGUUGUUAAUAUGACUCCGGGCUGGGGUUGUUAAUAUGACCCCGGGCUGCUGGGGUUGUUAAUAUGACCCCCGGGCUGCUGGGGUUGUUAAUAUGACUCCGGGCUGCUGGGGUUGUUAAUAUGACUCCGGGCUGCUGGGGUUGUUAAUAUGACCCCCGGGCUGCUGGGGUUGUUAAUAUGACCCCCGGGCUGCUGGGGUUGUUAAUAUGACUCCGGGCUGGGGUUGUUAAUAUGACCCCCGGGCUGCUGGGGUUGUUAAUAUGACCCCCGGGCUGCUGGGGUUGUUAAUAUGACCCCCGGGCUGCUGGGGUGGUUAAUAUGACCCCCGGGCUGCUGGGGUGGUUAAUAUGACCCCCGGGCUGCUGGGGUGGUUAAUAUGACCCCCGGGCUGCCGGGGUGGUUAAUAUGACCCCCGGGCUGCCCGGGUUGUUAAUAUGACCCCCGGGCUGCCCGGGUUGUUAAUAUGAUGCCCGGGUUGUUAAUAUGAUGCCCGGGUUGUUAAUAUGACGCCCGGGUUGUUAAUAUGACCCCCGGGCUGCCCGGGUUGUUAAUAUGAACCGCCGGCUGCUGGGGUUGUUAAUAUGACCCCGGGCUGCUGGGGUUGUUAAUAUGACUCCCGCCGGCUGGGGUGGUUAAUAUGACCCCCGGGCUGCCCGGGUUGUUAAUAUGACCCCCGGGCUGCCCGGGUUGUUAAUAUGACCCCCGGGCUGCCCGGGUUGUUAAUAUGACCCCCGGGCUGCCCGGGUUGUUAAUAUGAACCCCGCCGGCUGGGGUUGUUAAUAUGACCCCCGGGCUGCUGGGGUUGUUAAUAUGACCCCCGGGCAGGUGCCUUUUUGUCUUCUGGACAACAAACGAAAGUUGAUUUAUGAAAACCAGUAGAAGAGGAGAAAAAUGCUGGUUUGAAUAUUUCAACGGCAUAUGAGUCUUUAUAAAAUUAAAAACAAUAUUGCCUCCCCGUUUCUAUGGGGAUUUUGACUUUGAAGCAAAGUGAGACAUUUCUCGUCAUAUGAAGUAAAACAUCACCCAGGUUUCCAACAAUUAAGUAUAUGAUUUCAAAAUGCACACCUUCUCCAGCUUAGAUGGUGGGUGAUGCGCUGAUAGCCUGCCUACCGUAUUGCCUAUCCAUUAAAAUAGGUGAAUG